AGAGUUUGAUCCUGGCUCAGAGCGAACGCUGGCGGCAGGCCUAACACAUGCAAGUCGAACGAACCCUUCGGGGUGAGUGGCGGACGGGUGAGUAGCACGUGGGAACGUACCCUUUGGUUCGGAACAACACAGGGAAACUUGUGCUAAUACCGGAUGUGCCCCCAUUCUUUAGCGAGAGCGGGGGGAAAGAUUUAUCGCCAUUGGAGCGGCCCGCGUUGGAUUAGCUAGUUGGUGAGGUAAAGGCUCACCAAGGCUCCGAUCCAUAGCUGGUCUGAGAGGAUGAUCAGCCACACUGGGACUGAGACACGGCCCAGACUCCUACGGGAGGCAGCAGUGGGGAAUCUUGCGCAAUGGGCGAAAGCCCGACGCAGCCAUGCCGCGUGAAUGAUGAAGGUCUUAGGAUUGUAAAAUUCUUUCAGCAGGGACGAUAAUGACGGUACCUGCAGAAGAAGCCCCGGCUAACUUCGUGCCAGCAGCCGCGGUAAUACGAAGGGGGCUAGCGUUGCUCGGAUUUACUGGGCGUAGAGGGCGCGUAGGCGGAUCGACAAGUUGGGGGUGAAAGCCCGGGGCUCAGCCUCGGAACUGCCCUCAAAACUGUCGGUCUAGAGUAUGAGAGAGGUGUGUGGAACUCCGAGUGUAGAGGUGAAAUUCGUAGAUAUUCGGAAGAACAGCAGGUGGCGAGNGCGACGCACUGGCUCAUACUGACGCUGAGGCCCAAAAGCUUGGGGAGCAAACAGG
rnacentral:rRNA from 1 species